rnacentral:rRNA from 1 species
GGAUCCAGACUUUGAUUCUGGCUCAGGACGAACGCUNGCGGCGCGCCUAACACAUGCAAGUCGAGCGGGAAGCUUUUUAAGGAUUCUUCGGAUGAAUUAAAAAGUGGAGAGCGGCGGACGGGUGAGUAACGCGUGAGAAACCUGCCCUAUACAGGGGGAUAGCCAUUGGAAACGAUGAUUAAUACCCCAUAUGACCACAGUAUCGCAUGAUACAGCGGUGAAAACUCCGGUGGUAUAGGAUGGUCUCGCGUCUGAUUAGCUAGUUGGUGGGGUAACGGCCUACCAAGGCGACGAUCAGUAGCCGGCCUGAGAGGGUGACCGGCCACACUGGAACUGAGACACGGUCCAGACUCCUACGGGAGGCAGCAGUGGGGAAUAUUGCACAAUGGGCGAAAGCCUGAUGCAGCGACGCCGCGUGAACGAUGAAGGCUUUCGAGUCGUAAAGUUCUGUUCUUGGGGAAGAUAACGACGGUACCCAAGGAGAAAGCACCGGCUAAAUACGUGCCAGCAGCCGCGGAAU